rnacentral:rRNA from 1 species
CCCUACGUUCGGAUUGUAGGCUGCAACUCGCCUACAUGAAGCUGGAAUUGCUAGUAAUCAUAGGUCAGCAUACUAUGGUGAAUACGUUCCCGGGCCUUGUACACACCGCCCGUCACACCAUGAGAGUCGAUAACACCCGAAGCCUGUGAGCUAACCUUUUAGGAGGCAGCAGUCGAAGGUGGGGUUGAUGAUUGGGGUGAAGUCGUAACAAGGUAAC